rnacentral:rRNA from 1 species
ACGCUGGCGGCAGGCCUAACACAUGCAAGUCGAGCGGCAGCACAGGUACUUGUACCGGGUGGCGAGCGGCGGACGGGUGAGUAAUGCCUAGGAAUCUGCCUGGUAGUGGGGGAUAACGUUCGGAAACGGACGCUAAUACCGCAUACGUCCUACGGGAGAAAGUGGGGGAUCUUCGGACCUCACGCUAUCAGAUGAGCCUAGGUCGGAUUAGCUAGUUGGUGAGGUAAUGGCUCACCAAGGCGACGAUCCGUAACUGGUCUGAGAGGAUGAUCAGUCACACUGGAACUAAGACACGGUCCAGACUCCUACGGGAGGCAGCAGUGGGGAAUAUUGGACAAUGGGCGAAAGCCUGAUCCAGCCAUGCCGCGUGUGUGAAGAAGGUCUUCGGAUUGUAAAGCACUUUAAGUUGGGAGGAAGGGCAUUAACCUAAUACGUUGGUGUUUUGACGUUACCGACAGAAUAAGCACCGGCUAACUCUGUGCCAGCAGCCGCGGUAAUACAGAGGGUGCAAGCGUUAAUCGGAAUUACUGGGCGUAAAGCGCGCGUAGGUGGUUUGUUAAGUUGAAUGUGAAAUCCCCGGGCUCAACCUGGGAACUGCAUCCAAAACUGCCAAGCUAGAGUAUGGUAGAGGGUGGUGGAAUUUCCUGUGUAGCGGUGAAAUGCGUAGAUAUAGGAAGGAACACCAGUGGCGAAGGCGACCACCUGGACUGAUACUGACACUGAGGUGCGAAAGCGUGGGGAGCAAAC